rnacentral:misc_RNA from 1 species
AGCACAUGGAGGAGGAUAUGGUGGUGGAGAAGGAGGUGGCCAUGGUGGUGGAGCUCCAAGUGGCUAUGGUGGUGGUGGCAGUGGAGGUGGUUAUGGUGUUGGAAGUGGGUAUGGAGGCGGAGGCGGCGGUGGCAGUGGAGGUGGUGCUGGAAGUGGGUAUGGAGUUGGUGGAGGUCAGGGUGGUGCCCAUAGUGGUGGUUAUGCGCCUUAAACUAAGCCAAAAAUAUUUUUAAUUUUUAUUAUCUACCGUAAAAAAUAAUGUCAUCUCAUUCUCGAUUAGAGGUGUGAAAAUAAAAUAAAUUGUUUAAUUAGGAUCCACUAUUACAAUAAUUAUUAUUAUUAUAUAAUUGCUAAUUAAUUACUUGAACACUUGGUGUUUAAAGAAAUCAUUUAUUUUAAUGUAUUUCUGUAUUACUAUUAAUACCAGAUAGAGUGUUUAUUCUCUGGCAAGUAGACUCGAAAUCACUUCUCCACCAUGUUUUAUUCUUUAUCAGAUCCUAAAAGAUAGUGCAUUAAUGUAUUUAUAGUGGAGAGCAUGUGCUCUAAAAAACCAAAUAUAACUCCUUCUACAGACCUACUCUUCAUGGUGCAGCAGGGGCUAGGUUCCAUUGCGGCUAGUCUCUUCUUUCUUUCUCAGUUGCAACCACUAGCACUUGACUGUUAGAAUUGUGCAUUUCAAUGGGUCAGAUAUAUUACCAUUACAAGGAAUUGUAGUCAGAGUGACAAUUUUGGACAAAAUUUGC